GAGGCCCCGGAGGGCGCGCCCAGCCGGGGGGUCGGCGGCACCAGCCCUCGCGCCCUGUCCCCGCUGGCCCGGAGCCCGGAGCCUGGGGCCCCGCGAGCUUUUCAGAGUCUGGAGCCCCUCCCCCCCCCCCAGGCUGUCCCGUGCUCAGGAGCCCCCAGAUUCCGGAGAGCCUCCUUUUGAAUAUAUUUCCCCUCUCGAGGAGCGAUGGCCCCUCCCCAUUCUCCUUUCACACAACCCCCCAUCCCCUAAAACGGGCUGGGCGCCCCUGGACACCGCGAGGAAGAGGAGGCGCCGCGGGAGCGCGGGAGGUGAGGAGUCACAGGGGCCUAGUGCAUGAGGCGUUGCUCCUUAGCCACCCAAGACAUUCCUGCUCCUGGGUCCCUUCCUCCGCAUAUGGGGGCACCUACACCUCUCCUCCCGCUCCGGCAUCUGCUUCACGGCCCCUUUCCUUUCACCUGGGUACCACUCCAGAGCAGAAGUGAUGGACAGCCUACAAGUGCACGUGUGUAUAAUGCAUAAGUGAACAUAAGCAUCUUCAAAAUUCGUCAUUUGCAAAGGAACAAGGCCUGCUGAGCUCCUCAAACUGCAACCCUAUCCAAUCGUGAAUUUAUGCCUGGAGCGCAACCCGGGAGAAGUCUGCUCUUCUGUGUCACCCAGCACUUGGAGCAUGUGCUUGCCUACGUAGAUGAGGAAGUGCCCGGCCACCUGGGCAGCAUGGGACAGGACCCGCAGCAUGCUCCUGCAACAGAAGGGACAGGGACACGCGUCAGGCCUGGAGGUCCGAGCCAGUGAAGAACAGAUGGAGUGGGGAUUUUUCACAACCCCUUUCCCCCAAACAUGCGCUCAGAGUAGGCAAUGCGCACACCUGCCCCCGCCCUCCCCGCCCCUCCUGCCUGGGCUAGCUUCAUAGGACCCGGGAGGUUCGAGCAGGACCUGGAACUCUGCAUUUCUGACCUUGUUUCCUGUCCUCUCAGCAGCUAUCAAAACUGAAGCCCUGAGUCACUGAGGUCAGUGGAGGCCCACAGGUGAGAUGCCUGCAGGGGAGAGCCAGCUUCUGUGCUUGCUUUCCCGUCUGGAUUCUGGCUCCAUAAAAAAUUUGGCCUCGGAGGAUGUGCCUUUCUUGAAGGACAUUUAGGCAUAUAAAAAGAUGUUUUCAUAUUUGCUUUACAUUUUUAGUGGGAGGGUUUUCCAAGACAUAUAAUCUAUAGUUUUCCCAGAAAUAGAAAACUAUUCUAUAUCUUAACUUUUCUAAAUCACUGUAGCCACACACACACACACACACACACACAUACACACACACACACCCCUAAUUUCAUUGGCUUGCUGGCCUCCUAAGGACAGAGACAGUGAAUGGUCACUGGGUCAUAUCUACAGGCUUUAAUAGGAUCGUAGCUACUUGCUUCCCAAAGCUUGUCCCUCAGAAUUAUUUGCUUUGAGUCAAACAACCCAUGUUCACAAAGAUGCUACAUUUCCUAGAAAUAUCCUAUAUAAUAAAAGGCUAAUAUGCAAAUUGACCAAACAGUGGAAUGACUAGUUGCUAUGAUGCACACUGACCACCAGGGGGCAGAAUAUCAACACAGGAGCU